UCGAGGGUCAAGGUUGCGGCACCUACUGUUCAGCUGGCGUUUCUCCAAGGUGUAAGAACAAGGACUCCACCACAUCAUGAUGCAAUCAAAGAAGACAACAUAACAUGUUGGGGAAGAGUUCUCUGAAGUCACGGUAACUUCUCAGCCAUUUUUAGUGACUUUCUGCUCCAAAUCUUCCCCUGCUGCCUU
rnacentral:lncRNA from 1 species